UAUGGUUGUGACUGACAAAAUGAACAUACUUCUGAUGUGAAUGUUAGUUGAAUUUUCUUUUACCUUAACAAGUAAGAGAAAUGUGGGGCACCUGGUGUCUCCUGGUUCUG